CGUCAUUCCAUUUCCUAUCACAAAUCAAAACAGGUAAUAUUACUGCGACGCUGUUGCCCAACCACUGGUGCUGAGGCAGUGGAAGCAGCAUUUUUAUCCAUGUCUGUCUCUUGAUAGCUGACUUGCCAAAGCACAUCAUCAUCCACUCCAAGAGCAGGGAUUUCUGGGCCUUCAGGCGGCAGGCGAGGGACAUGAAGAUAGAGUCGACGUUCUGACUCUCCCUCGGGUCCUUGGCUGAUGUCUCAAACAGCAGCAUGUUGUGGGCGUCAGCAAACUUCAGCGCCAUAUUGGAGGGCACCUGGGACAGGACCAGUGUUUGGUUGUAAACCUGAAUUACAUUUAGCAAGGUUGCGGAAGGAAGCCAUCUUGGUGACAUCAUACACAAAGACCACUGCAUGGACAUUGCGGUAGUAGUGCUCCACCAUGGAUUUACGAAAGCGCUCCUGGCCUGCUGUGUCCCACACCUGCACCUGUGGAGAUAGACAAGCAAACAACCAACUGGCUCCUGCGAGAAGUUGAGAUCCUCUGCAAGGACGAUUUACCGUUUGCCAGAGCAGUGAUGAGAAGAGCAGAGGAAACCACGCUGCAGCCAACCUGCAGAAGAUUUUGGCGCACCACCACAGCGCCAUGACUGGAUGGAUGUCUGACCGCUCACGCCAUCAAUACACCUGGAGGAAGGUAUG